AGUCGGUGUCUUCCAAAUCGAUUCAACAUUCAUGUCGAUCGAUGUAUCGUUUGUUGUGCUCAUGACUAUCGAUUGUUUUUUUUUCUCGUUUACACAGUUCUACAGAGAGUAUGUCGUCGCUUGUUCGUUCGAUGGUUAGUUAAGACGGGUGAUUUUGAUUUAUAAUUUACGAGCUGCUAUUACGUAUUAAAAUUUGAAUUUCAAAUACAUUUAAACUGGCAAAAUACGCUGUGGUCAACGAGUGCAACGUGAAACAGCUGUUUACGAAUUUGUUUACUUUGUUACGGGCUAUUGCCGUUGCCUCGUUUAGACGUUUGUGACAGGUUAUGAAGCACAAACUGUCUGCAUUAUGUUUUCAAAGAUGAGUAAGAAAAAACAAUAUUAUUACCAGACAUUCCGUGAUACGUAUAGUGCAGAGUUUCCAUGCAUUUUAAAUUCUGACAAAGGGGAAAGGUUUGGCUUUUGUAAGAUAUGCAGAUGCGACAUCAACAUAUCGCAUGGCGGUAAAAGUGACAUCAGCGUGCACAUCAAAAGUGCGAAGCAUUUAUCCAACGUGAAAUGCCAAGAAGAUAAUCACAAACUUUCAAGGUUCUUUGUUAAAUCUGGGGGUGCAGAUCUUGACAUUACGCGAUCUAAGUGUUUAUUUACUUCGUUUUUGAUAGAGCAUACCAUUCCUCUAGCGGCCGCAGAUCAUGCAGGUGCGCUUGUCAAAAAAAUGUUCCCAGACUCGGAAAUUGCCAAGAAAUAUGGAUGUGGGCGUACCAAAACUUCUGCUAUUAUGAAAGAGAUGGCUUCGGAUGCAAAAUCCGGAGUAGUGCAGUACUUAAAAAGUGGGCCGUUUUCAGUCGCAACUGAUGGUAGCAACGAUACUAGUUUUAAGUUGUAUCCCAUUGUAGUUACGUUUUAUGAUGAAGCACAGUAUAAAAUUGUAAAUGUUGUUCUUUCCAUUCCUGUUCUGGAAGGUGACUGCACCGGACGGAAUAUUGGUAAUUUAAUGCUUUCCCAAUUUGAAUGUAAUGGUAUUCCCAUUGAACACUGCAUUGCAUUUUGCUCAGACAAUGCAGCUGUUAUGAUAGGGCAUAAAAAUGGUGUUGCAGCAGUGUUGAAGGAAAAACACCCUGGGCUUAUUGAGAUUGGCUGUGUUUGUCAUCUAAUAAACUUAGCUGCAGAAAAAGCUGCAUCUUCUCUGCCAGUAAAAGUCGAUGACAUUCUUGUAGACAUUUUUUAUUAUUUGGAGAAGAGUUCCAAGAGAAAAGAAAGGUUACACAAGUUUCAAGAUCUGUACGAUACAGAAGCCAAGAAAAUUCUUAAACAUGUGUGUUCAAGAUGGCUUUCUCUUGGAAGAAGUUUGUUGAGGGUUUUUGAGCAAUGGCAACCAUUACUUAGCUUUUUUAAGGCAGAGGUAUUAAAUCAGAAACAAUCUGUGUGUCUAACCUCUUACAAAAUUCCUAAGCUUCAACAGUCAUCCUGUGCAAGCUCUAGUGGAGCCCAUCAAGGCAUAGAUAAAGAGACAGAGAAGAAAAGGAAACCAAGUUCUGUUUCCUUUACCAGCCAUAAAAAAGUUGCUUCACCUUCGGCAAAAAAUGAUGUUUCUAUUCUGAAGAAUGAAAGUCCUUUUAUGAAUCGAGAAGAAAAACUAUUUAUGUUUCUUUCUUCUGACCUCAAUAAAGCACUGUGUGCAUUUCUCCUAAGUGUUGUGCCAUCAUUUGAAAAACUGAAUGUCAUUCUUCAAUCAUCAUCACCUCAUAUUCACAUUUUAAGAGAACUGUUGCUUAAUUUUUUAAGAGAAUUGAUUUCAAACUUUGUAAAACCAAGAACUGUAAAUAGUUGCUCAUUACUUGAACUUGACUACCAUAGUGUCCAGAAUCAAAAAGAUGACGUGGAUUUAGUUAUUGGAUGUCAAGCAUCUAGAAUUGCACAAACACUUGAUGAAAAGAAAAAACAGCUUUUCUUUGCAGCUGUUAGGAACUACUUUGUUACAGCUUGUGACUACAUUGUUAAUAAAUUCCCCAUCAGAAAUGCAGUGUUGAAGAAUGCAGAAGUGGCAAGAAUGAAAAAUAUUCAGGAUUCCAGCUUUUCAUCUGUUCACUAUUUUGUGGAUUUGUUUCCUAUUAUUCUUCCUGUUCAAGAAGGCGAAUCAAGAGAUGCAGCUAUGGAUAAAGUGACAAAACAAUUCUCAGCUCUUCAGAUUGAUGAUAUUUUGGGCAUUGUUGACAUGGAAGAGAGUGAAGAUGUGAAGUGGGCUAAGUUAGCCAAAAUUCGUGGAGUUGAUGGUAUUUUGAAAUAUGAUAAAAUUUGUAGAAUAAUGCUGUCAAUACUUUCCAUUCCACACAGCAAUGCGGAAUGUGAAAGGAUUUUCAGUUUGGUGAAAAAGAACAGAACACAAUUCAGAUCCUCCAUAUCCAGUGACACUUUAGAAUCCCUUUCAAUAUUGAAGACAAGAAAAUCAAAUUUGUGUUAUGAACAAAAUUUUAGUUCUGAGUUCUUAAAGAGAGCAAAGAAGGCAACAGUUGCUUCUUUAAAGCCACAGUGCUCCAGUGCUCCAAAUUAGCUAAGCAUUUAUUUAUUUUUUUUUCUUCUUAUAAUCCACAUUUUUUGACUAUAUUAUAUUAAUUUUCUGGCAAAAUUAUUAUCGGAAGCAAAGAUAGAUUCUGUGAGUUGUAUUCUUGUGUGAAAUAUUGUGCUGAUCUUCAAGUAUCACAGUGAACAGGUAACAACACACAAAUAUUUUUUAAUGUAGCUAUAGCUUAUUUGAUAGUGGGUGGUUUGUGUAAUUUAGUUGUAUUUUAGCAGUACAAGUCUGCAUUGUAGCCAUAUAGGUAAUUUUUUUUGUCGAAAUCGGUAAUUUUAUUUGUGUUAAUAAUCUUCCUAAUUCAGAUUUUCAUAGGUUGGCAGGUAUGCAUAUGGCUUUCUGCGUACUUUUCUGUAAACCUGUAAGUAUAUAAACACAAUAAUUAACCAAUCCAAUGUAAAAAUAUGGCCGCAACAAAAACUUUUGGAUACUAAUUAAAUUAUUCUGUUAUAAAUCAUCGCUUUAACGUUUUGAGUAUCAUCUUAACAUUAUCAAGUAAUUUCUUUAUAAUGCAUGUUAGUAAACUGUAUGUAAAGUACUUAAUGAAUUCUGAUGCCAAGAAACCUAGAAGUAGGUCAGUAGGUGGUUCACGGUUACGAUGGACUAAGCCCAGGUUACGUAUUUAUAAUAUAACAUUUGGCACAGUGAAACAAAUGUAUUGUUAGGAGUUUAGAAUUUUAAAACAUUCAGUUUGGCAUUGCACAAGUACUACCAUCUUGGGCUUGGUCAAACAAAAGUGUUUCGCGCAAUUAUAAAUUGCCUGAAUUAAAAUGAUGACUAUUAAUGCCCCUGAUUACAACCAAAUCGUUUAACAAUAGAUAGUGAUACUAUGAAUUAUGUUUUUUUAUAUGUAUGUGCUGUUCAUAUUUAGUGUUUUUAGGUAGUACAUGGUGAUAUUUUGACAGCCUAAAAGAGUGUUUUUUUUUUUUGUAGAAAAGUGUUUUCUCUCUUUUAGCUACUUCUUAAGUUUUGUCACCCCCAAAAUUUUGCCACCCUGCUCAUUUAUCCACUUCUUUCUGAAAAGUAAAAAUCAGUCAAAAUGUGUGUGGAUGCUGUGCGCGUUAGAUUGAUAUUCUUCACAUAAUGCUGUUUUAAUUAAUAGUUUAUACUGCCAGUCAGUACCAGACUAUCUCCAUUAAGAGUUACCUCUUUUGUUUUAGUGACUUCGACAUGAAAAGAACAAUAGACUCCUAUUUUAAUGUCGCAGCAGGGCCCAGUCAAAAACCGCGAACUGAAGCAGGCCCAUCACCAUCAGUCCAGCUGACUGAACAGAAAUGCUUUGAAAAUGAAAGUGCAGAAUUAUCCAGUCCGCAUCCAGCAAAAUCAUCCGAAAAAGUAGAACGUCACUACAACAAAAAUUGGGAACAGAAAUACAGUUGGCUGAUCUACAAUGAAGAAAAAGGAGGUGCAUUUUGUAAACUAUGUGAAAACUUCAUGAAAAAUGAUGCAAAGGUUCUGCAAAAAACAGGGAGUGUUUAUUACUACUCCAUUUACAUCUUUCAGAAAAGCUUUAGGAAAGAAUGGAAAAUUAGAGAAGCAUGAACAUUCUGCAGCUCACUCAAUAAGUGUAGAAAUGGAGAACCUCAGAAGACAUGCUACGAGGAAACCUAUUCAUACUCAAAUGAUUCAACAGAGUGAAAAUGAAAGAGACAUAAAUAGAAAAGGCUUAAAAACUCUCUUGCGCGGCUUGUACUUUUUAGUAAAGAAAGAAAUAGCUCACACUACUACAUAUAACAGCUUGAUUGAAGGUCUUCUCGACAAACUGAAUGAAGAUUUUAGUAAAUGGAGAAAUUCUCUAAGUGACAGAUCGAAUUAUAGCAGCAAGGACACCGCCUGCGAGCUUUUGGUCUGUAUGGGCGAAAUUUUGAGAGAAGAAUUAAAGGCCACAUUAAAACACAAGAAAUUCUCUGUUCUAGAUGAUGAAAGUACUUCACUACGAAAUGAAAUGGAGCUCAGCAUUAUGUUUAGAGUUGUGGAAGAUAAAGUACCAGUGGAAAAGUUCUUAGCAAUAGUCAAAAUCCCAAAUGGAAAGGCAGAAACUAUUGCAGAUGCAAUUGACAAGGAACUUGCUGCUCUUGAUUUAAAUUAUGAAAAUAUUAUUGCCUUUGGAUUUGAUGGUGCUUCUAAUAUGGCUGGAAACAUUGGAGGUGUAAGAAGGAAGCUUUCAGAGAAGGCGAACAAGGAAGUUAUUUACAUACACUGUAGAGCACACAUCUUGUCCCUGGCAGCAGCUUCCUGCAGGAAUAAAAAUCAGAAAGUCAAAAGGUUUUUCCAUGUUUUGAAAGACAUUUAUAAGCUGUUUAGUAAGGGCCGGUUUCACCAAGCAGGUUUAAUUUUGUUACAAAACGAGAUUUACAAAACUAGAUGAAGUAUAAUCGUAAGUUUAAUUCCGACGUGUGUUUCACCAUCGUUAAACAAGUUUAAAUUAAUCGAGAUUUCUAAAACUCGAUUUAUAAAUGCCUUCCACAUAAAAACACCCAUUACCUAGCGAAUAUACCCGAAUAUCUGUCGGAGAUACCCGAAUAUGUAUUUUUUUCCUCUCUCGUAGAUGCAGCUUUUGGUCGAGCGUAAUUUAUGGUGGCCGCAUCAACCUAAAAAAAACUUUUUAUUUUUUUUUGAAAAAAAUAGUAAUACCGUGAAUACCGUGGAAAUUGUCAUAUCGCAAAUAAAUAUGAAUGGCAAUGGUGCAGUUUCAGCUGCAAUUAAAGAAAAGCGACAAAGAAGUCGAAAUCUUUCGCCACAUGAAAAGACAGUUUUGUUAGAUCAGGUAACUGAACACUUCUCUGUGAUUGAAAAUCGUCGUACAGAUGCUGUCACACAACAGCAGAAGGCGAAAGAAUGGGAGAUUAUUGCUGCCGAAUUCAAUUCGAUUUGCAAUCAGUACCACCGAAUGCCAGACCAGCUGAAAUCGUCGUGGGAGAACAUGAAGAAACUGACGAGAAAGAUACAUGCCGACAACCGAAUUGAAACGUUAUGCACAGGUAAGGUAUUUUAUGGCAUUCAUGCUGAUUGUUUUGGUUGCAGUGGCCUUUUAUUUGGCUAGAUGUUUGUGUGUAACAUGCUACAUCAGACAUGUAGUUUGUAUAUACAACAAAAUAUAUCGAAACUUUUGAAACUGGUUAAAUUAUUGCUGUUGCAUGGAACCCCCUUCCCCCUCAAAACACACUUUUAUAGGCUUCUGUGUUGGUUGCAUAGGUCGAUUCCGUCUUGUCAUAACCUACAUUUUGGUAUGAUUUAACUUUGGGAUACCAUCGACUGACCUACGGAUAUGUAACUAUGAAUUGCAAAUUGCUUUGCUCUUGUCAGAGUAUCCUAGCCUAAUGCAACCUAUAUUUGACUAUAGAUGGCCAUCAUUUGCUAUUUGUGUUUAGUGGACAUUUGAGUAAUAUACUAAUCAUUGUAUUAGGCUUACGGUUAAAGUAUUUAUUUUGUUUUUUCUAAUCUAUAAAGCUCAUAAUGUUUUUUCAAGUUCAGCAAGUACAAGUCAUCUUUCUCGUACACGAAAGUGAAAUCUUUCUAGCCCACUUCUACUUGUAGCAAACUUGUAUUGCGAGUAUUGCUGAACUAGUGACUAGCAUACAAUAUGUCUAACCAGUGACAUUAGAAAGCUUAAAUCUUUUUAUAUUUUUUCUUUGCAUGGGAAAUGUAAAUCUUUGACAUAUUAUCUAUUAGCAUUCAAAAACUUUAAAUAAAAACUUACACUUUGCACCUUUUUCGCUAACUACAACUGUAUGUAUGCAUCACAAUUAUUGUAGUUAUUCUGGUUAGCAUAAUGCAGUACCUUAGUUGACUUUAUCUUGUACAAAUAGGCUAUGAAGAGAGCAUAUGAUGUCAUGUAGGCCUAUUUAUCAUUUGUGAGUUUACUAUUUUUUUAUUUUGUAUUUUAUUUUCAGGUGGAGGCCCACCAAAAAAAACAAUUAAAGAUGAUCCACUGUUUGUUCGAAUUUAUGAGCUGAUUAGGCCCACAGUAGAAGGCAUGUAUAAUGCAUUUGAUACAGAUUCGAUUGCAGCACAUCUGGACACGUCUUCAGCCGGAAACACUGUGCAUGCAGACUGUGGACAAGAAUCACAAAUAGAAACAUGCUCGAAAAAUGAAGACAUUGGAACUGUUGUUGAUGUUACUUAUGUGGAGUCAAGCGAAGAUGCUCUCCUCAAUGGAAACUGGACACAUUAUUCGCCAGCCAUGCUGAGGAAAACAAAGUGCUCGCUACUGAGGACUCCAGUGAGCACUCCUAAAAGAACGCUGGAGGAACCAAUGCCACAAACAGUGUGUCCAAUGGGAAACGACAAAGCUGAAGAUGAACCAGCUGCAGUGCCCUGUAGAAAUGAAAAUGUUAGUGUAAAUUCUGUACCUGUCAGUGGAACAUCUGUACCUGCCCCUGCUUCAUCUUGGAGAAGCAGACGUCGUCCACCCUUGCAUACGCAGAAGAUUGGGGAUUUAAGUGCCCUUCAUGCCGCUAAAAUAGAACUCAUUGAGAUGACAAAAAAACAUUCUGUAGAGGAAUCAAAAAUGCAAAAGGAAUGGUUUGACUUAAAAAUGUUACAGGAACAGGAAAUUUUGAAACAAGAGAAAUUGAAAACUGCCAUUUUAUCACUCCAAGUGCGUAAAUUGCAAAAUGAUCUGCAAUAGGUAACUUUAAAGAGUGUUAUUCAAUUUUUUUAUUAAACUAAAUACUUUGUUGAAUGUAGAAAAUGAGGUACUCAUGUCUUAUCCUGUAUGCUAUUAUUUGCAUGUAUUAAAUUAUGUAUAUUUUAUAGACCUUUACUUAGCAUAUGUUUUUACAAUAGACAAAUUUUGCAGUUAAUUAGUCCCGAAAAGCAGGGACUGGAAGUAACGCGUUACUACUAGUAACUACGUUAUUUGUAACAGUUACUUUUUAUGGUAACGAUCGUGGUAACGCAUUAUUAAGUUUUCAGUAACCGAAUUACAUUUUUCCGCCUUAAAGUAACGAUAGUUGUCGUUACUUCUUGCGUUAGAUUUUUUAAAUGUAUUUCUUAUUGAACGAACAACGAUUUGUUGAUUUUUUCAAUCCCAGAACGAAAAUCCCGACAAGCAUAUUAUUUGAGAUGGUAUUUCUUGUACUUGUAAAACUGCUGUUGGCUAGCCUGCGCUCGUAUUUUGAUUGUCAUUUAUUUAAUAUUUGCGACAUGCGGGUUUACUGCUGUUCUGUUUAAUUAAUUAACCUACCUGUGCACAUGCGCGAAAGCAAUGACAGAAUCUAAUGAAGCGAGAAGCCGAGAAAGCAGUUCAGAACUUUCGUUGCCGUGGCUUUCAUAUUCUAAAUAUUUCGAAGUUCGGUCAAGUGAUCAAAAUAACCUUAUUGUGAAGUGCUUCUUGUGUGGUGCUGCGAAAAAUAGGAUGAUCCGAACGAACGAACAUUUCAUUAUUUUUUUUAGUGUAAACUAUACUCAAUGUACAUUAUUUUGUAGUGUAAACUAUACUCAAUGUAAUUUAAGACCUAGGUAAUUUAAAAAUUUUCAGUUUAAGUAAACAUAUAUCUUUACUUAACACAAUAUGUUUUAUUAGCUUUUAAUUAUAACAAUAUUACAUAUCACAUUUUUAGUUUUUCACAAAGUAACUGUUAAAGUAACUUAGUUACUUUUCUCAGAACUGUAACUGGUGUAUUUUCAGUAGUGUAACUUGUAGUUGUAACAGGGUUACAUUUCCAAUGGAAUAUUUGUAACUGUAACUGAGUUACUUUUUAAAAGUAACUUUCCGGUCCCUGCCGAAAAGUGAUAUAGGCUUUUCAAAUAUAAUAGUUUAAAGUUUAACAUUUGUUUGUUACAGCAGGGCUGCUGUUGGUCAACCACUACUUUUUUUGCUAUGAACGUAACUCAUCGCUGAUUCCCGAUAAAAAUCAAUUUUUGAAACUUAAGAAGUUAUUUUAUAGAAUAUAUUGCAAUGAAUAAAAUGCAAUAAUAUUCAUAAUUUUUUUAAUGUUUGCAUUGCCAAUUUAGUACUUAACUGAAAUAUAAAAUUAGAUGAAAAAGUUCCACCAUUCCAUUAAAUAGCCAUGGAUUUUUAAGUGGAUAUAAAAUUACCUGUCAUAAACUGUUUUCAAAGUGAUUUGACCAAGAUUUUUUUUCUGCUCAUGCAAAACAAAAUGGUUAAAAAACACGUGCUGCAUGUUGAUAUGUUGUAAAAUUUGCUUUAUGUUCCAAUUAAUUAUUUCUGCUUGAAAUAAUGUACUUGUAUAGUUUUAACUUUCUAUUACAGGGCAAUCAUUUCACAUGUGUUACUUUCAACAUACUUGUACAAAAUGCUUAGAAGGAAAAUAAAGUCAUUAAUUUUUGUGUAAA